GGCUCAGGAUGAACGCUAGCGGCAGGCCUAAUACAUGCAAGUCGAACGGUGUCUUCGGACAUAGUGGCGCACGGGUGCGUAACACGUAUGCAACCUACCUUACAUUGGGGGAUAGCCUUUCGAAAGGGAGAUUAAUACCGCAUAAGACAGUAGCUGGGCAUCCAGCAGCUGUUAAAGCAUUGCGGUAUAAGAUGGGCAUGCGUCCUAUUAGCUAGAUGGUGAGGUAACGGCUCACCAUGGCUACGAUAGGUAGGGGGCCUGAGAGGGUGGUCCCCCACACUGGUACUGAGACACGGACCAGACUCCUACGGGAGGCAGCAGUGAGGAAUAUUGGUCAAUGGGCGCAAGCCUGAACCAGCCAUGCCGCGUGCAGGAAGAAUGCCCUAUGGGUUGUAAACUGCUUUUAUUUGGGAAUAAACCUCUUUACGUGUAGAGAGCUGAAGGUACCAAAUGAAUAAGCACCGGCUAACUCCGUG
rnacentral:rRNA from 1 species